UUUCUGAAAAAUAAAGGGUCUCAUGAGGAGUUUACCCGAAAUUUAACCCUUCCAUGCCUCAAGUGGGCCUACUUGGGGACUUUUUUACUCAAAAGUGGCCACAGCGAUGAGAAGGGCUAUGUCUUGGCCCCUGAAGUCCCUCAAAAGCAAGACAGAAUUCUGAUGGUGAAGAUGGAUGAAGAGGACUAUUUGUGUGAGAGCGACCUGCUGCCCAGGAAUCUUCUACCCAGCUGGGAGCUGGCCCAGGCUCCCAUGUUCUUCAUUGGCUCCAGAACAAGGAAUUUUCUGGGGCAGAUGGCACCUCCACACUGAACACAGGAAUCAUCACAAAUCAGCAGCUUCAGGCAGUUGGAGACCCAGUUCAAAUGUGAAAUCUUGGGAGCCCCACCCCUCCAAACCAGUGCCUGUCCACAGCAUUUGAAGGGAACCCUGUGAAAGA